rnacentral:rRNA from 1 species
CAGCAGCCGCGGUAAUACAGAGGGUGCAAGCGUUAAUCGGAAUUACUGGGCGUAAAGCGUGCGUAGGCGGCUUUUUAAGUCGGAUGUGAAAUCCCUGAGCUUAACUUAGGAAUUGCAUUCGAUACUGGGAAGCUAGAGUAUGGGAGAGGAUGGUAGAAUUCCAGGUGUAGCGGUGAAAUGCGUAGAGAUCUGGAGGAAUACCGAUGGCGAAGGCAGCCAUCUGGCCUAAUACUGACGCUGAGGUACGAAAGCAUGGGGAGCAAACAGGAUUAGAUACCCCGGUAGUCCCUGUCUCUUAUAC